rnacentral:lncRNA from 1 species
CUUGGUUGCCCCAGAAAAACACCAGCAUCUGGUAGACCAGAAAAGAAGCCACUGAUGGAAUGCUGCAAGAAGGGGUUUACCAUGCGGUGUGAUUUCUGGGACCCCUUCUUCCCUGUUGAAAAUAUUUCACAGGCCCCCAGGACCUCCCCCAAAAGACAAGGGCAGAAACCAAAGAAAAUGCACUGUUCCAAUUUUGUCCAGGCUGCCUGUGGAAUGAGAAACCCAUGAGAAAGUUAUUGAGACUUCAGUUUUCUAUUCCUCUCCUUAUCCGGCCUCAUUACCUCCCCAACCCCUGAGAGAAAAAAUAAAUAAUUCACAAACAAAGGACGAGGGUGUGGUGGAUUGAGAGCAGGUUUGCUUGGUGACAGGAGGACUCUGUAGAGGGGGUCUGUUGGGAGGUGAGCAGGAGGGAGUGGCUGCUCCAGAGCCCACAGUUCUGUCCAGAAAGGUGGAAGUAACACAGGCAUCAUGAAGGCUUCUGGAGGCAGGGGCUGAGCCCUCUCACCGCAAGGACCACAGAAGCCAGGGCUGGACUCCUGGCCCGGGAAGCUCCAGUCCCAUGGACUCUAUCCCACUCCUUUGUCUCUUUCUCCCUCCUGUGCCUGCCCCGCCUGCCCCUUGCUCUGUCUUCAUCCUGGGAAGCCAGCUGCAGCAUGUAGGAGAGAAGGGCUCUGUCACGGCUGUCUCUAGUGUGUUAUUGUUAGUGUUACAUUACAAAUCCCGUUUCCAUGCCAGGGUCCCUCGGGGGUCAUAACCAGGAGAGGCCAUGACCCUGUCAAUAAACAGAACCCCA